CAUUAUUAGAUCUUGGUAGAAGUACGCUGCAUGCUUAUUGGCUCACUGACGCUGAUGAGAUUCACUCCUCAGGUAUUAAAAUGUGGUAUUGAAUUGAAUUCCAUAUAAUCGAUACUAUAGAGGCUGUUCGGUCGGUGCCUUAAAGUAUCUUAGUUCGGUGCCCAGUCCUAUGUGUCGAUGUGUAACUACCGGUUAUGCAAUGUACCCCCCACAAAGUGACACAGCCACUCUCCAUCAGGGACAUCAACAUCCACACAAACCAGGUGAAACCACAGCUCACACAGCACGGGUCACUCUGCAUCUGGCACGGUUUGGCGACUGGCAUAGUGACUGCCAUUUUGUCCAUCGCAUUAGCAUUAGUGACUUUUUCUACGUAUUACUCAGGGUUUGGUUGGGUCAGGUGGUUAAACAUCAUAAAAGCAGACAGGUCGGGAGAUUUGGUUCAGGUUAGGGUAACUAGCAACCAGCUAGCUAAGGGUGAAGCGAAACACAUAUCGACGGGAAAACAUAAUUCGACACAACACCGACAUAUUAACGUCAGUUAGCUGAACAAGUAACCGUUACACUAAUUACAUAACGUUACCGUUACAUUAUACCGCCGGUAUGCGAGUUAACGUUCGCUGGAAAAGUAACCGUGACGCUAGCUAAUGCUAACCUCUGUAUAAAACAAUAUACCGCCGCCUGUGAUUCAUGCUAGCAUUAGCAUAACGUUAGGUUGCCUACCUUUGCAAUUCUUUUCUGUCAAUUCCGGUCAAGUAAUCUCUGUCAUCUCUCUUGACCGCAGCGUCUCCAGUCGACGGUUUGAAUUUGCUAACUGUUUUAGUAAAACCAAACGACACUGCCGCGGGUUUUCUCUCUA